GGCGCGCCGAAAGGGCCGCCCGGACGAGCCGUACCCGGAGAGCGACAAGACGGUGAGU
rnacentral:ncRNA from 1 species